GACGAACGCUGGCGGCGUGCCUAAUACAUGCAAGUCGAACGCUUUUUCUUUCACCGGAGCUUGCUCCACCGAAAGAAGAAGAGUGGCGAACGGGUGAGUAACACGUGGGUAACCUGCCCAUCAGAAGGGGAUAACACUUGGAAACAGGUGCUAAUACCGUAUAACACUACUUUCCGCAUGGAAGAAAGUUGAAAGGCGCUUUUGCGUCACUGAUGGAUGGACCCGCGGUGCAUUAGCUAGUUGGUGAGGUAACGGCUCACCAAGGCAACGAUGCAUAGCCGACCUGGGAGGGUGAUCGGCCACACUGGGACUGAGACACGGCCCAGACUCCUACGGGAGGCAGCAGUAGGGAAUCUUCGGCAAUGGACGAAAGUCUGACCGAGCAACGCCGCGUGAGUGAAGAAGGUUUUCGGAUCGUAAAACUCUGUUGUUAGAGAAGAACAAGGAUGAGAGUAAAACGUUCAUCCCUUGACGGUAUCUAACCAGAAAGCCACGGCUAACUACGUGCCAGCCGCCGCCGUAA
rnacentral:rRNA from 1 species